rnacentral:rRNA from 1 species
AUACGUAGGUGGCAAGCGUUGUCCGGAAUUACUGGGCGUAAAGGGUGCGUAGGCGGUUAUUUAAGUCAGAUGUGAAAUUCCGGGGCUCAACUUCGGAAUUGCAUUUGAAACUGGAGAGCUAGAGUGCAGGAGAGGAAAGCGGAAUUCCUAGUGUAGCGGUGAAAUGCGUAGAUAUUAGGAAGAACACCAGUGGCGAAGGCGGCUUUCUGGACUGUAACUGACGCUGAGGCACGAAAGCGUGGGGAGC